GACGAACGCUGGCGGCGUGCUUAACACAUGCAAGUCGAACGGAAAGGCCUCUUUCGGGGGGUACUCGAGUGGCGAACGGGUGAGUAACACGUGAGUAACCUGCCCUUGACUUUGGGAUAACUUCAGGAAACUGGGGCUAAUACCGGAUAGGAGCUCCUGCUGCAUGGUGCGGGUUGGAAAGUUUCGGCGGUUGGGGAUGGACUCGCGGCUUAUCAGCUUGUUGGUGGGGUAGUGGCUUACCAAGGCUUUGACGGGUAGCCGGCCUGGGAGGGUGACCGGCCACAUUUGGACUGAGAUACGGCCCAGGCUCCUACAGGGGGCAGCAGUGGGGAAUGUUGCACAAUGGGUGGAAGCCUGAUGCAGCAACGCCGUGUGCGGGAUGACGGCCUUCGGGUUGUGAACCGCUUUCGCUCAUGACGAAGCUUUGUGUGACGGUAGUGGGUAAAGAAGCACCGGCUAACUACGUG
rnacentral:rRNA from 1 species